UCCUUGGUUCCUCCCUCUCCCUUUCAGAGUCUGGAGCCCCUGCCAGCCAGUGGGCCCGAUUUUGGAGGAUUAGGGGAAGAAGCUGAAUUCCUUGAAGUUGAACCUGAAGCUAAACAGGAAAUUCUGGAAAACAAAGAUGUAGUUGUUCAGCAUGUUCAUUUUGAUGGCCUCGGCAGGACAAAAGACGAUAUCAUCAUUUGUGAAAUUGGAGAGGUUUUUAAGGCUAAGAACCUCAUUGAGGUGAGUGUGACCUCUGCUUGGCAUUCUUUUCCGCUCCCUUCUCUAGAACCUGUAACUUCUCCUGUAACCGCAGAGCACCUGUCCCUGGCCUCCUUCCAGAGUGAUCCUCUGUCCCCAGGAUCCUCCCACAGCUUACAUGCAUUCGUCCUAUCCCCUGUUGUCCCUGGGGAAGAAGAACUUCCAGCCUCUGGUCCAAGCCGCCUUCCCUGUGCUGUUCCUGCCCCUCCCAGUGGCAGGCAGCACAGCCGAUGGGGUGGGUCCCCACCCUUCCUGGGCACCACGCUGAGUGGCGAUGCCCUGUGGAGUUGUCACUCAUCUGUCACCCACCAUGUUUCCCCACGGUCUUGUCUCUCUGUGAAGCAGUUUCUCUCCUCCACUGCUUCUCUUCCUGGUCAUAUGUGGGGUUCCCUCGUCCCUCUGUCGUCACGUUGAACGUGGUGAGGCAGAGGUCACCUACAGCAUCCUUGUGGCCACAUCUAGCUGGCUCCUUUCCAUCCCUCUUACUUGACAUUUAAGCAGUGUGGACCAUGCCCGCUCCAACACCAAAAAUAGUUUAUAUUUUUAAAAGAUCGAAGUUGAAUAAAAAUGCUCUGGACAAAUCGGAUGACACAGAGGGUAUUGAAAGGAACGCACA
rnacentral:lncRNA from 1 species